UUGGCUAGCGGGUAGGUCUCGUGACUAACAGCGAGUUCGAGCCUCUCUCACCCCACACCGAAUAAGACCAUCGUUGUGAUGAAACGCUGUCGGUGGCAACUUGAGGAUUCUCACACUUUGCAUGUGGUUGCUUAUCUAAACUUACCAACUAAUUUGCAGACUUGCAGUUAGCUGGUGUCGUAGGACGUACCACCCAUGUCGUUUUCAUCCUAUGCACACUAGGCUAACCGCCUAAACGCGCGCGUCGCCGUCGAUCAGCUGCCUCACUUGUCG
rnacentral:lncRNA from 1 species